rnacentral:rRNA from 1 species
UACGAAGGGGGCUAGUGUUGCUCGGAAUCACUGGGCGUAAAGCGCACGUAGGCGGAGUGUUAAGUCAGGGGUGAAAUCCUGGAGCUCAACUCCAGAACUGCCUUUGAUACUGACGGUCUUGAGUUCGGGAGAGGUGAGUGGAACUGCGAGUGUAGAGGUGAAAUUCGUAGAUAUUCGCAAGAACACCAGUGGCGAAGGCGGCUCACUGGCCCGAUACUGACGCUGAGGCGCGAAAGCGUGGGGAGCAAACAGG